CUGGAGGUAUCAGAAGUGCGAAUGCUGACAUAAGUAACGAUAAAGCGGGUGAAAAGCCCGCUCGCCGGAAGACCAAGGGUUCCUGUCCAACGUUAAUCGGGGCAGGGUGAGUCGACCCCUAAGGCGAGGCCGAAAGGCGUAGUCGAUGGGAAACGGGUUAAUAUUCCCGUACUUGGUGUUACUGCGAAGGGGGGACGGAGAAGGCUAUGUUGGCCGGGCGACGGUUGUCCCGGUUUAAGCGUGUAGGUGUGUGUUCCAGGUAAAUCCGGUUCACUUUAACACUGAGGCGUGAUGACGAGGCACUACGGUGCU
rnacentral:rRNA from 1 species